GCAGUGCAUCAUCCUGUGCGUGAAUUAUUUAACAUCGGAGAAGAUUGUCCGGUAUCCAUGGCCUGUAGGAGUUUAAAACUGUCGGGCGGUGGUUCGGAAAUAAACGAAUAGUUCUAAUGUGAACGACGUUUUGUGGCUAUCCGGGAAUUGCUCAAGAAGAAUUUGCAAGUGCUGAUUUUGCCAGUACCGAAGAAACCAGUGGACGAUAAAGAUUGAGAAAUCUAACCGGUUAAAUUGCCCAAAUUGUCCUGUUUCUGUCCCUGAAGCUCCGUCCGCAGGUCUGGGCGUCAUCGAGUGGGGGAAACAGAUUACCAUUUGUUUACGGGUUCAAAAAUUGCCAGGAAGCCUGCGCCCCUCUGUAAUUGGCUCAGCUGUAUGGAUUACAUAAAAAACGGCACGGAACUAUAAGAGGAUGCUGUUAGAAAAUAUCAACAGAACUAAUCAAUCUUCAAUACCAUUUGAACAAAUUUGUGAUUGUACAGAUUAUAAACGAAAAACCUGUCGUCUACAGUAGAACUGCAUGAUGUUCAAUUGUGAAAUCCUUUCAGUCUAUUAGCACAAUUGCACGGAACAAUGAAUCGAAAAAGCAUUUAGUACCAAAUCAUCACAGCCAGUGCCUGAGAUCUAAAGAAAUG